ACACCAAGUCCAAUGCAACAUGUUAUACUGAAUUGCCCGUGUAACACGGGAUGUUGCUAAUGUAAACCAUAUUGCCACCAGAAUCCAGUGACGGAUGCAGGGACCAUAUGGACUUGGAUGCAACACAUUAUCAUCUUGCAUGUUGACAACAGACUGUGCCACAGGAGGGUGAGUUUAAAUCCUACAUUAACAGGUGGUACAAUAUAAUGCAUGUUUUGGUUAUCAUGUCAAAGAAUCCGUAGAUUCGCCCUAUUUGGGGUCAACAACUCUGCAACAGUACAUACACAGCCAUAGUUCACCAGGGAGGAGAGUGUUUGUCAUUAAAUAAACGAUUGACUGCUUCAAGGUUAACUCUAAUACUCCUUACUAAC